GAGAGCCCAACCUCUUGAGGGAGUCCAUUCGUUCCACUGUCGAGGAGCUCUUACUGUCAGAAAGUUCUUCCUGAUGUUCCAUGCAAUCAUCAAAAAGAAGGGGACAAAUUCUGAGUGACAGGGUGAGACAUGCCAAUCUUUUUCAGGGCCAUAUAUGCUAAUCUCCAACUUCUCUCUCCCUUUCCCCCCUUCUUUUAGGAACUAAAUGCAACUUCCACCCUCACAAGCAACAUGCCUUUGAAUACCAAAUCCUGCAGACCAGCAACAUGGGAAGGCUGUUGCCUUCACACUCCACUUGUGAGCUUCCCAAAGGCAUUUGGCUGACCAUUGUUGGAAACAGUGGGAUGCAUGGAUUUGCCCCUAUACCCAUCCUGGAUCUCAAAUAAGCUAAUGAUACUAAUAAGCUUGGCCAAUGGCCAGGGAUAGUGGGAGUUGCAACCGCUGCAUAGCUUUGGUGGGGAAGCACGAAUGCUUCCAUACUCCCACUACACCUACAAUAUAGCAUGUAAUGCAUCUGUAUGCACACCUAGCUGGUGUUCAGUUUUUCUAAUCUUUUUUCCCAAAAGCCUACAGAACUAAUGGCUAUCACUACUGUUUGCAGCAUUGAAGUUUGCAAGCCAAGGUAAGUUUCUUCUAUAUGUCCCAGACCUACUGCUAAUCAAAACUACUACUAUUUCUACGGGUCACCCAGUAAUUAUUAAAUUUGUAUACUGCCCUAUAUCCGCAGGUCUCAGGGCAGUUCACAACAUAAAAUCACAUUAUAAGAACACAAAAUACAUAAUAGAAACAACUCAAUAAUCCCCCUCCUUCCUGUGUAGUGUUGUAAGGUGACAACUUUUCCCAGAUCUCCUUAUGCCCUUACCAUGCCAAGUGCAUAGUUUCUCCUAGGUGUGGUAGGAGAAUCACCCCAUACACAGGCCUAUAUACAAGGGGAACAGAGCUGCCUGUCGCUGAAAAAAGCACCUUGCAUCAAUGUUUAAAUCAUGCGAUUUUUCUAGGGUGACUAUGCAUUCUUCUGAGAGGACCACCCUCUAUCUGAAGGGCUGUCUGAUCCAACUCUGCUUUAGAGAUUAAAAACCAAAAGAAGGGAGAGCAGAAGCAGCUUUGAACCUGCCCACCAGCACGGGUCACCUGGUCCCAGCCUUCCCCACUAUGGUCAGUUGUCUUGCGAUCCUAUGUAACUAUGUGAAUUAUUUCUAAAUUUGCAUUUGUACAUGAACCAAUGCAAAUUGUAUGCAAAUUCGUGCCCGCUUUUAUCCCCUGCUUUGGUGGUGCAUUUACUCUAUUUCCCCCCUGUGAUGUUCCAUCAGGUGCCCUGUGCCUCUCUAUAUGCUGUGUGAUAUCUGUGAAGGUUGCAGGCACCUGCAUAAGGGUCAGGGUGCUACAGGUAGGCUCUUGCCAAUGCCACAAUAUAGUUGUUGAUCUUCAAGUUGCCAUAGAACUCUUUUUUGCUACAACCGACUGAUGGCUACAGACACGCUCUUCAGGAAUUUGCAUCAACACUGGAAGACAGCACUUGUAAGGAAUAAACAUUGCCUUUGGUCUUGUCACAUGCAAAUCUGUACUCGUCCUAAGCACAUGCCACAUACUAGGAUGUAAGGCUCCAGUCCUGUGCACACUUUCUCGGGAGUGUGAAUAGAAUGGGAACAAACAUGCAUAGGCUUGUAUUCUGUAUCCAUUUGAAACCCAUUGGACUGACUUCUGAGUACAUAUGCUUAGGAUGUGGGCAGAAAGAGUUGAUUCAUGAUUUUAAGAUACCUACAACUUCAGAAAGGUGGUUUUUUUUGGGAGGGGGAAACACCUUGCUUCUCUUGCUCCUUUUCUGGCCUCGUCUCUUUUCAGUCCCUCUCAGUUUCUUUCUUUAAACCACUUCCCUUUACCCCCUUUUCUUAAUUUAUUCUAUGCCUCUGCUUGUACAGUCAUGCCUCCAGAGGGAGGUUUGUCUCACACUUCAGAUGGAAGCUAUUCGAGAUUUUAAAGAUGUGUACCACUUUAAAAAGAAUAAUUACAAUACUACUGGGUGCCUUCUGAUUCCAUUAGCCCCCAAGGGCUGGUCUGUGUGUCCUUUCUUAAUUGGUUUUUGUUCCUUUGAUUUUACAGACACAAAUGCAACGUGCCACUGAUUAUGUAGCGUACGGAAUGCACAAUGGAAACAGCUAUUUGUACGACAGCUAUUCGGUUACAGAUAUUGACAGUGGGUGCAUGCAGACAAAAGACACAAAAGCAGUGCAAGCCUACAUGCCAGCUGCAUGCGUUAGGCUUCCAAACGCCCAUGGUUCCCUCCCCCAUAAAUCGGAAAAUUCGUCCUUAGGUAAGGAGAAUUCUUACACACAAGGUCUGCAUUGUGCUGCUUAAUCCUCUGGACAAUCCAGAUCCGCACUUGAAUCUUACCUUCUGGCCAGUCUCUUAAUCCAAUGGCUCCCCUGGAUCCAAUCCUUUCCCCUUAACCCACACACGGAACUGCUUCUCUUUCACAUUCACAGCAUACAAGCAGGGUUUGCUGUCACCCGGUUCUACCGCAGCCUUACCGCCCGAUUGGCUUGAAGCAGGCAGUAAAUUAAAUCAAGCCCCUCCUUAUACUUCAGUUAUCAUGGGAGCAUAAUGAAUUAUUUAGUAAAACUACUGGUGGGCAGGCUUGGAUAUCACACAGCCCUGCUGGAGAGGGCAGGAGAAGGCUUUUCCCGAAAGGCUGCUGCAUUGAAGUAGCACCCAGAGACAGAUUCAGUGACUCACCCUAUCAGCAUCCUAGGCAGAGAGGCAGAGAGAGAGGAGAGGAUUUGGUUUGAGGGCAGAAUUCUCUAUCUGUAACCUUUCCUUCCCUGCCAGCACCAAACCUUCAUUAGAGAUUGUUUCAGAGGAGACCAAAUAAUGCUUGGGGCUAGGAGACAGGAAAUGUUCCCUUCCACAUUCGCCAUUGGUACUGGAUCAAAAUAAUAUGGGUCAGUUCUAGGUUUGGGGCUGUGGUAUUCUGCAGUUUUCACAGCUGUGAGCACUGAAAUCAGCAUUCAAAGUCUCUGCUUUCCUUUAAAAACAAACCCAAACAUUUUAUGGAAUGGGGAGGGGGAGGGAAACAGACAAUUUUUGCAAGUAAAGAAAUGAACACCCAAAAUAUAACAUCUGGAGCUUGACAGGAAAGAUACACAGUCAUUACAUUUCUGUAGCAGGACUUAGUUUGGACUUAGUUACACAGCACCAACAAGUUUCUAGCUUCUACAAUUGAGGGUGUGACAUUAAACGUGUGAUUGUAGUAUUUAACUUGUUUCCCCUGCUAAAUAACAGGUGUGUGUGUGUGUGUGUGAGAGAGAGAGAGAGAGAGAAAGAGAGAGAGAGAGAGUAACAGAUAUGUGAGAGAGGGUGUGUGUGUGUGUGUGUGUGUGUGAGAGAGAGAGAGAGAGAGAGAGAGAGAAUUAUGAUUAGGACUGUGGUGCAUACAAAACAAAGUACUUUUCUCUUACGGCACAUUGUUAAAACUGUGGAGUUUUCUCCCAUAUGCUAUAGUGUUGGCCCCCUAUGUGAAUGGGUCUAAUUCUCUUUAAAAGAUAAUUAGACACAUUCACAGAGGAUGAAGCUAUCCAGUGGCGGACUUUGGGCUCUCAAAUUUCAGUGGUGCCCUGUAUGACGCUAAAAUUUGGCACCCCCUGCCUCUUGUGCUCCAUUCUACAGCAUUGUUGUGGCACCCCCUGCAGCACAGCACCUAACCAGUUGUGCUACCCUAAAACCACCUCUGGGCUACCACUGGCUACUAGCUGUGGAUGGAUAAGGUUUAACACCACUGUCAGAGGAAGUAUGCCCCCGAAUGCCAGUUGUUGGGAGCCAUAUAUGACAAAGCUGCUGCUGCACUCAGGUCUUGCUUGUGGGAUUCUCUUGAGCAUCCUGGCCGGUCACUGUGAAAACAAGAUGCUGGAUUUUGCCUGAUCCAGCAGACCUCUUCUCAUGUUCACAGAGUCUUGAUAGAAACCACCACUUCAAGCUGCUUUUGUUCCAGCACAGAAGCUUCCAUUCAAGCCAAAUCGGUACAAAAACCACAAUCUCUAAUUGUAAUGAUGGGAAGCUGAUAUUGUCAAUUGUGUGUAUUAUGCUUUGCGUCAUGGUGCAAAAAGUUUAUCUAGAUACACACCACAGAUAUUGUUUCACUCUUGUAUCUACUUACCUGUAUUUUUCUACAAUCAAGCAGUAUAUAUAAGCCGUUUCAAGAGUUUAGAGCAGCCAUUUCAAGAGUUUGGACUACAAUUCGCAUCAUCCCUGACCACUGGUCCUGUUAGCUAGGGAUCAUGGGAGUUGUAGGCCAAAACAUCUGGAGGGCCGCAGGUUGGGGAUGCCUGGUUUAGAGGUUUUACUACAAUCAAGCAGGAUAUAUAAUUUUUAAAAAUGCAUAAAUAAGCCCUGCUGAACUUAGUCAAACUUCAUACCUGGGCAUGCAUGUGCAUAGGAUUACAAUGAGCCGUCUAAGUAGCAAGUCCUAUUCAAAUCAAUGGGAUGCCACAUUCUGUCCAGGUAUCACCCCAUUGCUUGCAAGGCGACAUGGUUUGCAAGGCAUUUCCUUGAAUUGUGUCCCUUGUAUUUAUGAGAUUAUGAUAACUGCACCACCUCCUCAAGAGCAAGAGGUGAUUUUACUGAUUCUGUAGUCCUUCCCUGUCCAUGGUACUGAAACCUUUUGAACUGUUUGAUCUUAUUUGCUGUUUCCUCUCUGGAAAUUGUUUUCAGUAACUCCAGAGCUGCCCCUGGCAACAACAACAACAACAACAACAACAACAACAACAACAACAAUGUAAUAUCAUGUUAAGCUGUUGUUGGUAAUAUGCUGUUGUUAUAUGACAUUGUUGUUUACAGUCCUUUGUGGUUUUCCCCCAGCAGCCUUGUAAAGUAGGUUGCAAGAGGGAAACUGGCAGCUGAAUCUGCUCGGAAAAACAUGUGGCACAGCCUUCUUGGGAUUGUACCAUUUCAGAAUAGGGAUGUGGGGUUGUAUCUUUGAAAGCUCCCUACCUUGCCCCACCCCCUAGUAAAGAAUUUAAUAUAUAGGUGAUUUUUUGAUUUGCCAUUUUUUGUCAAGGGAACAUCUGCCCAACUUCCCUUUAAAAAAUGAGAUAAAAUGAGAACUUCUAGAGCAGUGAAACUAGGGUGCAAACACUGAGCAAAUGUCCCAGAAAACCAAAACAAAUCAACAUUCUUUUCUCAGACUUUGUUUUCCUUUUUUGUAUUCAGCUAUGGUCUUACCAGAGGACAAACACGUGUCUAAAGACAAAAAAGGUCUCUUGCUGCAGGCUGUUUUCCCUUUCCAAUUAAGAGGUCAUGACGACUAUGCUUGUUAUCAUGGUUACUUCAUAGCUGUGCUAAUAAGAAUCCUAGAGGCCCUAAUCAGCAUCCAGGCUCCAUUGUGUUAGACGGAACAAAAACAGGCAUAAGUACAAAAGGAGGCCUAAUCUAUUGCUGAUUAUGCAACAGGGGAUUACUGAAAAUUUAACAAGGAUAUCAGCAUGAUGUGCAGAUCAAGAGAAGACAGACAGGACAAAAGGGAAAUUCCAUCUGAUUGGUUAUGGGUAUGAUAGGUGCACAUUUUAUGGACUAUAUAUGGGACUUGAAAGGAUCCAUCUCACUUGAUUCUUGGGCUACUGGAACAAAUUCACUGAAUAUCUAUGGAUUUAAGUCCAUUUAUUUCAAGGAGCUACUUUGAGUAUGACGAAUGUUGGCUAUCCACCCAUUAUCAUUAUUCUCCAGUAGUUGUACAUACAUAAGCAGAGGCAUACUGGAUCAGAGCAAAGGCCACAUCUCAUUCUCGAAAAUAAAUGAAAUCUCUCCCAAAUUCACAUCAUGUGAAUAGUGGUUGAAAAUGUUGGGAAGUUGUUUACACUCAACCCUAAUAUUAGACAGAACUAUGCUAAAACCCGUCUUCCUCACAUCUAUUUUUCUAUGUUCAAGGAGCUUUUGUUGAUUGGAGGAGCAUUCAGCCAUAUGACCUCUUCUCCCUUAAAUCUCAAGUGGUACAACUGAGACACAAGUUUAUCAUCUCACCUAUUUGUUCAUUGCUUGUUUUUCGGAACUAGGUCAAAGAUAAUACCAGUCCAGCCAGCCAGCCAGCCAGCUCAUACUGAAGACAAGCUCUCUCCACUGUGACACUGAUAGGAACCCUUAUCUCCUUAGGCUCAUCUGCAGUCUCAUACUAUGCGCCCUUUGGUUGGUUGCCAGGCAACUAUUUAAGAAAAACCACCACAUUAUUUUUGCAAGGGAUCUUCCAGUACAGACUGCUUUGGAAGUCAGUCUCUUACUGUUACAUUUGAACACACA